rnacentral:sRNA from 1 species
GGAAGUGAGGGCAAUCUGGCUGAGACAUCUGUCACCCCAUUGAUCGCCAGUGUUUAUGCGGCUGAUCUGACUGGCUAGGCGGGUGUCUCCUUCCUUCCUCACCAUUCCAUAUGUGUCCUUCCCAAAGCUGCAUGCUCAGUUGAAGAGGAUGACCUUCCACAAUUAGAGGAGGACCAUUCUUUGGUCAAGCAUCCAAAUUCACUAGGGGACCACACUCAAGAAGGACAGCUAUUUAAUCCCAAGAUGCCAGGUGGUUGACUUGAAUUACUUUUG